rnacentral:rRNA from 1 species
UACGUAGGGUGCGAGCGUUGUCCGGAAUUAUUGGGCGUAAAGAGCUUGUAGGCGGUUUGUCGCGUCUGCCGUGAAAUUUCGGGGCUCAACCCCGAACUUGCGGUGGGUACGGGCAGACUAGAGUGUGGUAGGGGAGACUGGAAUUCCUGGUGUAGCGGUGAAAUGCGCAGAUAUCAGGAGGAACACCGAUGGCGAAGGCAGGUCUCUGGGCCACUACUGACGCUGAGGCGCGACAGCGUGGGGAGCAAACAGG